rnacentral:rRNA from 1 species
GAUGAACGCUGGCGGCGUGCCUAAUACAUGCAAGUCGAGCGAACGGACGAGAAGCUUGCUUCUCUGAUGUUAGCGGCGGACGGGUGAGUAACACGUGGAUAACCUACCUAUAAGACUGGGAUAACUUCGGGAAACCGGAGCUAAUACCGGAUAAUAUUUUGAACCGCAUGGUUCAAAAGUGAAAGACGGUCUUGCUGUCACUUAUAGAUGGAUCCGCGCUGCAUUAGCUAGUUGGUAAGGUAACGGCUUACCAAGGCAACGAUGCAUAGCCGACCUGAGAGGGUGAUCGGCCACACUGGAACUGAGACACGGUCCAGACUCCUACGAGAGGCAGCAGUAGGGAAUCUUCCGCAAUGGGCGAAAGCCUGACGGAGCAACGCCGCGUGAGUGAUGAAGGUCCUCGGAUCGUAAAACUCUGUUAUUAGGGAAGAACAUAUGUGUAAGUAACUGUGCACAUCUUGACGGUACCUAAUCAGAAAGCCACGGCUAACUACGUG